AAGGAUCAUUAUCGUGGGGCUUCGGCCCUCUCGAGAUAGAACCCUUGCCUUUUUGAGUACCUUCGUUUCCUCGGCAGGCUCGCCUGCCAAUGGGGACCCCAAUAAACCCUUUGUAAUACCUGUAUUCGUCUGACAAAACAAACAAAAAAUUAAAACUUUCAACAACGGAUCUCUUGGUUCUG
rnacentral:misc_RNA from 1 species